UUGGUGGUUCAGUGGUAGAAUUCUCGCCU
rnacentral:piRNA from 11 species